UUAAUGAAGCAUAUUUCGGAAA
rnacentral:tRNA from 1 species